rnacentral:rRNA from 1 species
UACGUAGGGUGCAAGCGUUAAUCGGAAUUACUGGGCGUAAAGCGUGCGCAGGCGGUUAUGUAAGACAGAUGUGAAAUGCCCGGGCUUAACCUGGGAACUGCAUUUGUGACUGCAUGGCUAGAGUUUGGCAGAGGGGGGUAGAAUUCCACGUGUAGCAGUGAAAUGCGUAGAUAUGUGGAGGAACACCGAUGGCGAAGGCAGCUCCCUGGGUCAAGACUGACGCUCAUGCACGAAAGCGUGGGGAGCAAACAGG